GUUCCCUCCCAAACCAAUUGUCUCUGGAUCUGCAAAGGAUCUAAUCAGCCAGAUGCUUGUCAAGGAGUCUUCACAACGUCUGCCAUUGCACAAGCUUCUGGAGCAUCCAUGGAUUGUGCAAAACGCUGAUCCUUCUGGUAUCUACAGAGGUUAAAAAAACAAAACGCUUUCAGUUCUAACUGUUCUUGGCAAUCUCGAGCCAAACUGUUAUCUAGAAAGACAAGAACACCAUUGUGUAGGUGUAUGAAUCUUCUUUAUUAUUUUUAUUUUUUUGCUCAUUCAUGUUUCGAAUAAAUUGUAUCCCAAGAAAAAUCUCAAGUAUCUGUAAUUCUGUAUUAUGUAGUAGUAUGUUCUAUGUCAUUAACGGGAGCAGGAAACUCUACAAAGUGU